GACGAACGCUGGCGGCGUGCCUAAUACAUGCAAGUCGAACGCACUCUCGAUUAGCUUGAUGGUCUUUGCUCCGGAUUGAACAAGAUUGUAACGAGUGGCUAACCUGCGUGUAACACGUGGAUAACCUGCGGUAACGUUAGGUAAUACCUUUUGAAACUGAUGCUACUACGGCAUAAAACUGAACACCGCAUGUGCUAGGCUUGAAAGAGGGUUUCGGCUAUCAUUUUAGGUUGGUCCCGCGGUGCAUUAGUUAGUUGGUGAGGUAAAGGCUAACCAAGACGGCGAUGAAUAGCCGACCUGAGAGGGUAAUCGGCCACACUGGAACUGAGACACGGCCCAGACUCCUACGGGAGGCAGCAGUAGGGAAUCUUCCACAAUGGGCGAAAGUCUGAUGGAGCAACGCCGCGUGAGUGAAGAAGGUUUUCGGAUCGUAAAACUCUGUUGUUGGAGAAGAAUGUAUCUGGAAGUAACUGUUCAGGUAGUGACGGUAUCCAACCAGAAAGCCACGGCUAACUACGUG
rnacentral:rRNA from 1 species